rnacentral:rRNA from 1 species
CAGGUUUACCUGUGUGACUGCGUACCUUUUGUAUAAUGGGUCAGCGACUUAUAUUCUGUAGCAAGGUUAACCGAAUAGGGGAGCCGGAGGGAAACCGAGUCUUAAUUGGGCGUUAAGUUGCAGGGUAUAGACCCGAAACCCGGUGAUCUAGCCAUGGGCAGGUUGAAGGUUGGGUAACACUAACUGGAGGACCGAACCGACUAAUGUUGAAAAAUUAGCGGAUGACCUGUGGCUGGGGGUGAAAGGCCAAUCAAACCGGGAGAUAGCUGGUUCUCCCCGAAAGCUAUUUAGGUAGCGCCUCGUGAAUUCAUCUCCGGGGGUAGAGCACUGUUUCGGCUAGGGGGCCAUCCCGGCUUACCAACCCGAUGCAAACUGCGAAUACCGGAGAAUGUUAUCACGGGAGACACACGGCGGGUGCUAACGUCCGUCGUGAAGAGGGAAACAACCCAGACCGCCAGCUAAGGUCCCAAAGUCAUGGUUAAGUGGGAAACGAUGUGGGAAGGCCCAGACAGCCAGGAUGUUGGCUUAGAAGCAGCCAUCAUUUAAAGAAAGCGUAAUAGCUCACUGGUCGAGUCGGCCUGCGCGGAAGAUGUAACGGGGCUAAACCAUGCACCGAAGCUGCGGCAGCGAACGUAUCACUUAAAGCGAUUCAGCGGGUUACGAUUGACGGAGCGAAGCGACGUCAAAGCGUAUACAAAGUCGAGUCGGUUUAAGGAUACGUUCGUUGGGUAGGGGAGCGUUCUGUAAGCCUGCGAAGGUGGCCUGUGAGGGUUGCUGGAGGUAUCAGAAGUGCGAAUGCUGACAUAAGUAACGAUAAAGCGGGUGAAAAGCCCGCUCGCCGGAAGACCAAGGGUUCCUGUCCAACGUUAAUCGGGGCAGGGUGAGUCGACCCCUAAGGCGAGGCCGAAAGGCGUAGUCGAUGGGAAACGGGUUAAUAUUCCC